UACGUAGGGUGCAAGCGUUAAUCGGAAUUACUGGGCGUAAAGCGUGCGCAGGCGGUGAUGUAAGACAGAUGUGAAAUCCCCGGGCUCAACCUGGGAACUGCAUUUGUGACUGCAUCGCUGGAGUACGGCAGAGGGGGAUGGAAUUCCGCGUGUAGCAGUGAAAUGCGUAGAGAUGCGGAGGAACACCGAUGGCGAAGGCAGCCCCCUGGGUCGACACUGACGCUCAGGCACGAAAGCGUGGGGAGCAAACAGG
rnacentral:rRNA from 1 species